rnacentral:rRNA from 1 species
AGGGCACCACCAGGAGUGGAGCCUGCGGCUUAAUUUGACUCAACACGGGAAACCUCACCAGGCCCAGACACCGGGAGGAUUGACAGGUUGAGAGCUCUUUCUUGAUUCGGUGGGUGGUGGUGCAUGGCCGUUCUUAGUUGGUGGAGCGAUUUGUCUGGUUAAUUCCGAUAACGAACGAGACUCUAGCCUGCUAAAUAGUCGCAUCCGGUAUCCUCUGUGCUACCGGAGACCACCAAUCUUCUUAGAGGGACAGGCGGCUUCUAGCCGCACGAGAUUGAGCAAUAACAGGUCUGUGAUGCCCUUAGAUGUUCUGGGUCGCACGCGCGCUACACUGAAGGAAUCAGCGUGUCCUCCCUGGCCGAAAGGUCCGGGUAACCCGCUGAACCUCCUUCGUGCUAGGGAUUGGGGCUUGCAAUUGUUCCCCAUGAACGAGGAAUUCCCAGUAAGCGCGAGUCAUAAGCUCGCGUUGAUUACGUCCCUGCCCUUUGUACACACCGCCCGUCGCUACUACCGAUUGAA